AGAAGCUGCAGGUGUGCUGUGUCACAUGCAUCAGCACAGACAGGCUGUCUGUGCUCAGUGUUCAGAUCUGUGAAUAUCUGAAUGAUUAGUAGCCUAAUACU
rnacentral:snoRNA from 1 species